CCUGACAUUGGGUAAUAAUAGAUAAUGUUGACAUAUGUUCCCUGCUGGUCAGAAAUACUAUACUUCUGUGAAAGGCCAAUAGUACCAAAGAUCAACAGUAAAGGCCAGUACUCAUCUCUGCCGCAAGGGAGUGUGACUAACAUCACAAAUCGGACGUCCUAUACCUAUCCUGAUCGCUGCAUUUACCGUGCUGUCCCUUAGCUGCUGACUGCACUGAUCUGAAGUGACUUCACUGAACCCGAGGGUGAGAACUCUCUUAUUCAUCUUUGUAACCUCAGCAGAGUGCUCGACACACAUGCUUGGUGUUUAAGUAACAAAUGGGUGAUUGAGGUCUUAUCUCACCAUGGUACAUUUACAUUGAGAUAAGAUAUUUAGUUACCUGGAAGGAUAGCUCAGUAAUGUGUUAACAUGUGAACCAAAGGUGCUUUAUCUGAUUGGCCCCUUUGCAGCAGCAGGGACAGAACGGUGGCAGGUCGACGGUGGCACAGCAGGCUGGUUUGGGGGCAGUCUGCAUACGUGCU
rnacentral:lncRNA from 12 species